GAGAGUUAAAUAGUACGUGAAAUUGUUGAAAGGGAAACGAUUGAAGCCAGUCGUACCUUCGGGUAAUCAGCCUUUCGGGUGCGAUUCUGUGGGGUUUGAGGAGCUUAACACCUUCAUGCUUUUGCAUAUUCGUGCUCUUGGGUGUACUUGCCCGUGUGGUUGGUUAACAUCAAUUUUGGUGGUCAUAAAAUGACUGGAGGAAUGUAGCUUCGAUCUUGUAUUGAAGUGUUAUAGCCUUCGGUAGAUGUGAUGAUCGAGAUUGAGGAUUGCAACGGAUACCCUUCGGGGCUACCUGUCUGGUCUCUGAUCGUUGCUCUGGUGCCGAAAGCUUGCUUACGGUUAUCAAAGUCGAUGGUCAAUAGGUUAGAACGGGUUAAAUUCGUUAAGGAUGUUGACGUAAUGGCUUUAAACGA
rnacentral:rRNA from 1 species